UACGAGGGGGGCGAGCGUUGUUCGGAAUUAUUGGGCGUAAAGGGUGCGUAGGCGGUUCCGCAAGUCCUGUGUGAAAUCUUCGGGCUCAACUCGAAGUCUGCACGGGAAACUGCGGGGCUUGAGUGUGGGAGAGGUGAGUGGAAUUCCCGGUGUAGCGGUGAAAUGCGUAGAUAUCACUUGGAACGCCAAUGGUGAAAACAGCUCGCUGGGGGUGUGCUGACGCUGAGACACGAAAGCCAGGGGAGCAAACGGG
rnacentral:rRNA from 1 species